GACGAACGCUGGCGGCGUGCUUAACACAUGCAAGUCGAACGGAAAGGCCCCCUUGUGGGGUACUCGAGUGGCGAACGGGUGAGUAACACGUGAGUAACCUACCCUUGACUUUGGGAUAACUUCAGGAAACUGGGGCUAAUACCGGAUAGGAGCUCCUGCUGCAUGGUGGGGGUUGGAAAGUUUCGGCGGUUGGGGAUGGACUCGCGGCUUAUCAGCUUGUUGGUGGGGUAGUGGCUCACCAAGGCUUUGACGGGUAGCCGGCCUGAGAGGGUGACCGGCCACAUUGGGACUGAGAUACGGCCCAGACUCCUACGGGAGGCAGCAGUGGGGAAUAUUGCACAAUGGGCGGAAGCCUGAUGCAGCAACGCCGCGUGCGGGAUGGCGGCCUUCGGGUUGUAAACCGCUUUCGCCUGUGACGAAGCGUGAGUGACGGUAAUGGGUAAAGAAGCACCGGCUAACUACGUG
rnacentral:rRNA from 1 species